CCUACGGGAGGCUGCAGUGGGGAAUAUUGCACAAUGGGGGAAACCCUGAUGCAGCGACGCCGCGUGAGCGAUGAAGUAUUUCGGUAUGUAAAGCUCUAUCAGCAGGGAAGAAAAUGACGGUACCUGACCAAGAAGCCCCGGCUAACUACGUGCCAGCAGCCGCGGUAAUACGUAGGGGGCAAGCGUUAUCCGGAUUUACUGGGUGUAAAGGGAGCGUAGACGGUCCUGCAAGCCAGAUGUGAAAGCCCGGGGCUCAACCCCGGGACUGCAUUUGAAACUGUAAGGCUAGAGUGUAGGAGAGGCAGGCGGAAUUCCUAGUGUAGCGGUGAAAUGCGUAGAUAUUAGGAGGAACACCAGUGGCGAAGGCGGCCUGCUGGACGGUGACUGACGUUGAGGCUCGAAAGCGUGGGGAGCAAACAGGAUUAGAUACCCUUGUAGUC
rnacentral:rRNA from 1 species